rnacentral:rRNA from 1 species
UCGAACGAGGUCCAAACCGAUCUUCGGAUUGGUGAAGACUUAGUGGCGAACGGGUGCGUAACACGUGAGAAACCUGCCCCGGUCUCUGGAAUAACAGUUGGAAACGACUGCUAAUACCGGAUGCCGUCGGACCAUCGCAUGGUGGACCGACGAAAGGGUUACCGGACUGGGAGGGUCUCGCAGCCUAUCAGCUUGUUGGUGAGGUAACGGCUCACCAAGGCAUCGACGGGUAGCUGGUCUGAGAGGAUGGUCAGCCACACUGGGACUGAGACACGGCCCAGACCCCUACGGGAGGCAGCAGUAGGGAAUAUUGCACAAUGGGCGAAAGCCUGAUGCAGCAACGCCGCGUGCGGGAAGAAGGCCCUAGGGUUGUAAACCGCUUUCAGCAGGGAAGAAAAUGACGGUACCUGCAGAAGAAGGUGCGGCCAACUACGCGCCAGCAGCCGCGGUGACACGUAGGCACCAAAGCGUUGUCCGGAUUUAUUGGGCGUAAAGAGCUCGUAGGCGGUUCAGUUGGUCGGGUGUGAAAACUCUGGGCUUAACCCAGAGACGCCACUCGAUACUGCUGUGACUAGAGUGCGGUAGGGGAGCGGGGAAUUCCUAGUGUAGCGGUGAAAUGCGCAGAUAUUAGGAGGAACACCAGUGGCGAAGGCGCCGCUCUGGGCCGUAACUGACGCUGAGGAGCGAAAGCGUGGGUAGCAAACAGGAUUAGAUACCCUGGUAGUCCACGCCGUAAACGUUGGGCACUAGGUGUGGGUCUCAACCAACGAGAUCCGCGCCGUCGCUAACGCAUUAAGUGCCCCGCCUGGGGAGUACGGCCGCAAGCUAAAACUCAAAGGAAUUGACGGGGGCCCGCUCAACAGCGG